rfam:Triticum aestivum genome assembly, contig: Triticum_aestivum_CS42_TGACv1_scaffold_513755_6BS
GAAAUACUCCCUCCGUCCGGAAAUACUCGUCGGAGAAAUGGAUAUAUCUAAACGUAUUUUAGUUCUAGAUGCAUUCAUUUUUAUUAAUUUGUCCGACAAGUAUUUUCGGAUUGAGGGAGUAUAUA